CUUCAGUAUGUAUUUUCUGUAGUUUUUUGUUUAAUACCUGGUCUUGUAUCACUAUUAUGAACCGUUCUGUUUCUGUAAAUAGAUUCCCCCUUACUAACCAGCCUUUUGACGCUUUGAUGUUUAUAAAGUGUUUCUGGAAGUUGUGUGAAUGUCUGCCAUGGAGUUCCUUUCUACUCCAGGAUGUUUUCUUUUCUUGUAUGUGUGCAGUGUUAUCUGUUGGGUUUAGAGUGCCGUUCUGUAGAUUUAAUGGUAUGUUUCUAUCUGCCAAGACUAUAGCUUUGUGUAGUUGUAAUGUAUGUUGUUUUUUAUGGAUGAACUCUCUCAAACAAUAGAUCU
rnacentral:lncRNA from 1 species